rnacentral:tRNA from 1 species
AGAAAGCUAGUCUAACCAAGACAGUUGAUUUCGACUCAACAAAUUACAGUACCCACCCUGUAGCUUUCUU